UGUUGAUCAUUCGAUGACAGCUUGUUUACACUUUGCUUUUGAAAGACAGCCAAAUGGCAGGUACUAAAAUUGUUGAGAACACACGAUAGUAACAAAUUAUCUGGAAGACUUGAAGCUUAUUUCCUAAACUUCACACCUCUUACAACAUGAAGCCAAUGUUCAUGGUUUUCAGCUUAUUCCUAGGUCUACCUAGCGAAAUCCACCCCGAAAAGAUACAGUUACCACCGUUCAAAGAGCUGAAGCUCCACUACCCCGGACAGAAACAUUUCGGAGGAAAGUACACCCACAACGACAUUCUACACUCAGUCGAAGUGACCCUGCCAUGUUGGAUUUCCACACGACACCAGCGCCAUCCGCCUGUCGUCUGCUCUCAAUAAAAUAGGGCCGCCACAUUCACUUGGUCGGUCGCCCAUUAAAUUGUCCGGGCGAUUCGGCGAUAGUGUCGUUGGUAAAAAUGGCCUUCAGUAUAUUUACCACGCCAUUGCGUUCGGACCGUACCUGGCUGACAAAUAUGGCGACCCGAACUUAUCAGUGUUACACCAAGUGAACGCGGCGAACAUGAAGAAAAGAUACUGGGGUAAACAGGGGAUUCUCCAAAUCAUUACAUACUCUAAUACCGGAGGUAAACCGAAAGGACAUAUUGCAUUGUGGGAUUGUUAUCACUUGCAUGAAUCCAACGAUUGGGUAGAAAAGAACCGUCUGGUCACAACUGCAUUCUGGGAAGCACCAGAUUCGGAUUGUCGAUCCUUCGUCUGAUUUGAGUCCUCGGACUGACAGGUGCCGGAAGUGAGAACACAGACCACCGGAAGUGAAAUGACAGUGUGCUUAAAUUCAUUACGCAGACAGUAUCAACAAGUGUUCAUGAAGCUCCAUAAUUAUCUCAUUUGUUAAUUAAGUGCUACGAUUUUUGGAACUUCGAUGGAGUAUAGAUCGAGGAAGUCAUGGCUUUCCUUAUAACUGCAAUAGGUAUUGUUUUAUAUAAAACAUGUUUUCCCGGCAGCUAUGAUUUUUUUGCAUUAUAAAACCCACAAAAACACUAUGUACAGUCUCAAGUCUUCUGGCAGAAGUAGGUCUUCUCAAGCCAAUGGAUAGGUGUCAAGGUGUCUCUGUAAAGAUGUCAACUUCUCUUUUCUACAAUAGUCUUUGAUAUGUUAUUUUUGUCAUUGUUUCAUUGUCAUAUUGUAUGUUUAUAAAUACAUUCUUUAUAUAAUCGUCUGUGUUUUAA